GGUUCAGUGAUUUCUGUUUUUAAGGGAUCCAGAGGCCUCAAGAUGUUUUUACCCAUUCUUGGAAAGUGAUGCUACAAUGGGACACUCACCCUCACACAUUCCCUUACAAGAACUGUGAACUGUGGGUGCUACUCUUUCCUUCCUCUGCCCUUACUGCUACCACUCUUGUAGCACAGAUAUACAAGGAAGGGGGAAUACUGUGAGAAUAAUAUGCAGUUGAUAAGCAAAGAGGAAGAACCAAAAAACCUUCCAUAACUUACUGAGGCAUUUCUUAUAUCUAUUCUCAAAAGAGAUGUGCACUUAAAACUAUAGAGUGAUGUUUGUAGAGAGGGUGUGGGUACAAGAGUCAAGGGAGGAGAAACAAGAAGAAGCAAUAAGAGGAGCAAUGCUUGAUAGAAACAGUAAUAAAAGGAAAAAUCAGAUCUAAGUCUGUGUUGUGUGGCAUAUAAUUCAAGAUUUAAUCUAAAUGUACCAAUUUCUCUCACAAAACAAUAGGUGAUAUUCCAACCUGUCACAUUCAACGGAGGAAAAAUAUUAUCUGCCACCCACUGUUUCCCGCAUUGCUGGAGUUAAAAACCUUCUCUUUGCUUGCAGAGAGCUUUAAUUUGAGCCCUAUGUUUUCAGUCUCUCAGAUCAAGUUCCUCAUCUCUCUGAAUUCUCCUUAGAUUCAAGACUGGCGUGAGAAUAACAGCGGCAAUCACUUCUGUUAACAAUGGCAAAUACAAAAUAAGCAGGAAAGAGACACAUUCCUUGCCAGACCUAGUAAUUACAGACUUGGCUUGGUUCAUGCAAGUUCAACUCAAUCCAGAUUUUUCUGUAAAAGCUGAGAGUCCAAAUCCAGCAGAGAAAUGUUGCUGAACUGCACAAAAGAUGAAUUCAACCCAGACAGCACAUUCAUAUUGCCUGCAUACUCCUCACAUGCACAUCUCCUUUUGGGUUUGUCAUGCAGGAAGUCACACACAGAUUAGAAACCACCAACAGAAGAGCUUUAUGGGGAACAUCUGGACAUUUCUGCCAGUUCCAGGUACAUUGCAGGGAGGCCCGUGGAGUGGAAGGCUACAGCAGGCACUGCAGGUUCCCUAAAUGCUCUCUUCCCCGGACAAAACGAAUUCUUAUUGACAACAAGUGGGCUCCAGGGUUGAAACUGGCAGCCUGCAUACUCUUCCUGUUGCUCAACAGUAUCUGCAGGGCAGAUGUGUUUGCAUACAACAAUACCAGAACAUAUUUUCAGUGAGUGUUCAUGAGCUGUCUGCUGGAUGGUAGCCCAGUGUGCCUUCAGGUUCAGCUCAAAUAAAGGAAAGAGAUGGGGUGCUUCAGAAACAUCCACUGCAAAUGCACGUAUGGCCAAAGCCUCAGCACAAGAAAUAGGAAGAAACACAGGAGUUGCAUCCUAAUCAAUGUGCUUUCAUUGGGAGCCUUCUGCACCAGUCUUACCUGUUCCCUACCUGCUUAUGUGAUGGCACUCACAUGGCUGGAGAGCCAAACCCUUCAGCCCAAACAAGGUCUCUGGAGCUUGGUCCAAGUCUGACAGCACAGCCAGGUCAUCCUUCCACAAAAGCAGGGAAGCAUGGGCACUGCUUCCCUCCAACCACCAGACAAAGCAGCUCGUGUGUGGGAGAGGAAAAAUUCUGCUUUCCAGAGCCCCAGUGACUUGUUUUUCCAUCCUGACGGCUCGAGAAGUGAGGAUCUGUGCCUGAAAAUCUGAGAGAAAGUAGGCUGUAUUUGUGUGUGGAUGAACAGCAAACAGACACCUUCCCCCUGUACCAGCCCCCCGGAUGGCAAUGAGUGUCUUCAGUAGAGAACGUGAUGACCUGCAAGGGAGCCUCAGAAGGCCAAACGAGAUGUGUGGUAAAGAAGAAAACAUGUUUAAUAAAACCUGUUGCAAAGAGAAGAAACGAGGAGGAGGAAGGCAAUGAGAAGAAGGCAAUCUGUGACCAAGAAAUGACAGAAGCCUUCUGCUUAUAAUGCUAACUUUUGAAUAAAAGUAAGAGUAAUUGUGUUAAAAGUCAGUCACUUGUUCCUCAAGUAUCUACUAUAUUUUUUCAACUUCUGGUUUAAAAUAUUUACAGCCAUUUUAACGUAGAUUGACACCUAAAUCAGCCACUCAUGUUCAACUCAGUGGAGUCUGCACUCCAGGAGCCUUGGUCCAUACAGUUAACACAGGUUUCUUACAUGGUCUGUGGAAAAAGGUAGACCCGUGUCUGCAAGUGGUCAGGGACAUCUAAGCUAAAGGAUCAUUCCUCUCUACCGACCUUAUAAAGAAAAAAUGCUGAAAUUCAAUACCUGCUUUCUCUUGACAUCCAAGCUGAGUCUUCUGUAGAAAGACACUAGUGGAGAACUUCUGCUCUUCGUACUGAGCAGUAACAGUAGUUUCCUGGUAGAGUAUCUGUCAAGGAAUAGAAGAUCCUCUUUGGCCAUGUUUCCCACAGCCUCAUUGCGUGACCUAGUUAGGCUACAUUACUUCAUCACUGCGCAAAGUAGAAAAGGACCAGAAUUACCCAUCCCAGCUUGUGCUCUACUACCUGCUAGGGCAGAGUCAAGUUCCCAUGUGUACUCAGCCAGAAGUCUUCACCUUCUGCCUAGCUGCCCAGUGUCAACAGGAGGGAAGAGCAUGAUGAUACCAUGAGCUUCUCACUUGGACUGAGAAAUCUUCUGUGGAGGUAGAGUUUAAGCAUCUGGACUUACCAAAGGCGGGUCUCUCCAAUCCUUGUCCAGAGAAAGUAAAAGAAGUGCGCUUUUAAGGUGCAGCCACUGCCCUGAAUUUCACAGAACUUUCAUCUGACCAAGAGAAAAUAAGUUGACUUCAGCUAAAAUUAGACUUGAGGUUGCCACCUCUGAACUUCAGGAAGAAUUUAAGAGAACUGGACCACUUGCAUCAUUAUGCCAAUAAAAUGAUACUUCUCUCUCUUUCAGCCUCUUUGUUGAGGUAUGUUGAUGAUUAGCCACCUAUGACCAGGGCAAUAUCUGCCAGGGAUUUUUACACGUUUAAGUUUCUUCACAGCCUAUAUUCUCAUUGUAGGCCAGGAGAAGCCACUGUGUUAAUGAUGGCCCUCAUAAGAAUGAAUUAUGGCCCGAGGCCAGAUUCAACAGUUUCCCAGAGACAGGAUGGCCGUUAACUGGGCAGUAGCCUGGGGUUUAUGUUUCACUACAAACCUUCUCUGUGCACAUCAGCAAGAUGUUUGAGCCAAAUCAAAGGAGUUGAGCUUCUCUGUUCUCACACUGCCAUUGGUAAAAUGACAGUCAUGACUCUUCUCCACUUCAGAGGGAUGUCGCAAGGAUAUUACAUGAAAAAAAUAUGAACAUGAGUAUUUAGAUGAACAUCAGAAAGUAUAAAACUCUCCCUGCUCCCAAGCUAGCAUACCCUUUCAUCUUUUUGGGGCCAAUGGUUUGAAGUAAAAGUUGCUGUUAACAUGUAUUUGCCUUAGCAAGGUGUUAAAGUCAUUUCUUUUUAAAUGGUGAUUCCUACACACAACCUGUUCCCAAGUUCCAGGUCCAGGUGCAAGUUCUAUUCCUGUGACUUGCAAAGCCACCGGGGACUCACAAGUGGCUCUGGCGUUGCAAAUCCACUCUUCCUGGAAAGAUUUCCUGUUCUUAUCAGGGAAGGAAACCUCAUUUAAAUUUGAAUAUUCACUUCCAAUGGUACAGAUUGUUAAAAGAUUGUUCUGCCAACAGAAUAACACAAAACUAGCAAUAUGACACUGUUAUACGAGUAAAAAUGAAGGAUGAACCAUCAAUCUGGAUUUUUAAAUGAUCUCUGUUAGAAUCUGUCACUGGUAAUAAAUGAUUGAUCCAUUUCCUAAAUAUAUAAUUUUUAGCUUUUUCCUCCUCUGUUUUCAAUUUGCCUUUACUUCUCAGUCCAUCUUUUUCAGUACAAACAUGUUUUCCCCCAACACUUGUAGGACUUUUCUUUUGUGUAGGGUCUUAGUCAUCUCUGCCAGCGCUGUGCUUCCCUCCAAUGAUGGAGAAAGCAGCCCGCUCCAUGAUACUGUUGUAUGUAUGCAUUAAGUGAAAUCAGGCUGCUUUUAUAACCUAUUUCUAAAACACUCAGGGUAAUUUACUGUUGUUUUUGCAAAAUUGUGAAUAACAGAGAAUAACAAUAUUUUGAACAAAUGACGAUAUUCUUCGUCGACGGAGAAUAAACAGGCUUGUUAGGGUGUAAUUGUUGUGCAUGAGUUUCUGGUUAGUUGUUGCUAUUUCACAGGGAAAUAGGACGCACUUGAAAGCUUCCGCAUCACUCCAGCUCCAAUGCUGGUACAGCAGAUGAAUAUUUUCAAGGAGAGGUAGAAAUGUCGAUUCCACUAACAAAUUUACAGUGCAAUAUAGCGAAAGAAUAAAACACGGUUUAUGGGUUGCUUUCUCCAGCUUAUUUUUAUCUCACAGAAUAAUACUUUAAAAGCACCCUGACAAAAUGUUUCUCUUCCUGCUGAACUAUCUUUAUUUUUAGAUUGGAUACUUACCCUAUACAACUAUUUAGUCUGAUCCAGCUGAUGCAAAAGGUUGCUCUUUCAGUGUACAGCCUGCAUUGUCCCUGCAUAAACUGAAGAUGUGGGUGCAUGCUUUAUGAACCAGCCAUCUAAACUUGAAAGUGUGCUGGAGGAGCAGAGCAAAGAAAUUAAAUCUUUUAAAGUCCUCAUCACAUUGGGUUAAUUUAGCAGGCCGUGCUUCUGUUCUGUUUGCAUGACCACGGAGUGCUUGAUUGACUUUGACAUUUGAGUGAAAUGGAUGGAUAUUAAUGAAAGGAUGCAGAUAAGGAGCUGGAGAGACAGAUACCAGGAUCAGACUGUUAAUGCUUUCACAUUCAAACUUUAUACAUGUGUAUAUAUAAAAAAAUGCUUUUGCAAACACCAUAACGUUCAUUACACUAUUCAGAAAAGGAGGUUUACUGUGACAAUCUGCUGAAAACUGCUUCUGUGAUGAUAACAGGAAAUCAGUCACUUAUUUUGCUGGAUUGUUCAGAAAACUGACAGACAGGCUCCGACUGAAUCUAAGCAGCCUGCACCUGGUCAGAAAACCGUGCAAUGUGACAACAGCCUCUGUGUUGCUAAUAAUUAUGCACCAAUUUAAUCAUCAACCUCAUGCUUAGCAAAAUGAAAGGAUAAAACUGGGUAAAUGAUGUAGCUAUAGGUAUUUAAAUCAUGCGGCAUUUUUUGGUAUGGUGAUGAGUGGCUCUUUUUUCUAAUUCUAGAUGAUGCUGACAGUGUUUAAAAUUGAGGUUAGAAAUUACAGCAAGAAUCUGACUUGUGAUAUGUGUCAUAAGAUGUGGCAUUUUGCUCUGAAUCGAAUAUAGAUUGUUGGUUGCUUUAAUCAAUAGCUCCGAAAGACCACAACGCAAAUAAGAUUAAAACUACUCAUUCCUUCGUAUGCAUAAUGGCCACUUCUUUGAUUCCCAUUUAGCAUUUAAAUUAGUUCAGCCACAAAGCACAGAGUACAGAUGCAAGUUUGAUUAUAUCAUUAGCGAAGUUCUCCUGGAUCAAUUUAAAACUAUUACUCUUCAGAAAGAAUUAAGACGGAGCUCUACGGGAAGAUAUUUCCAGGCACAGAUCUUGUCUAUUGUCAUGUAUGUGAGUGCUUUGUUUUUUUUUUUCCUCCUACAAGGAAGACGCACUAUUAAUUCUUUCAUAAGUCUUUACCAUGCUAUUCCACCACAUGGAAUCCAUGUGGCCAUCUUCGUGACCAUCGUGCCUCAUACCUGACAGUCUUUUGGCUCUGGUUUUCACUCCGAUAAGAAGAAACUUCACUUGAGUACA
ensembl:lncRNA